rnacentral:rRNA from 1 species
UACGUAGGGGCCUAGCGUUGUCCGGAUUUAUUGGGCGUAAAGAGCUCGUAGGCGGUUUGGUGAGUCGGGUGUGAAAUCUCCACGCUCAACGUGGAGGGGCCACCCGAUACUGCCAUGACUAGAGUCCGGUAGGGGAGUGUGGAAUUCCUGGUGUAGCGGUGAAAUGCGCAGAUAUCAGGAGGAACACCGGUGGCGAAGGCGGGUCUCUGGGCCGAUACUGACGCUGAGGAGCGAAAGCGUGGGGAGCGAACAGG